rnacentral:rRNA from 1 species
ACUCCUACGGGAGGCAGCAGUAGGGAAUCUUCCACAAUGGGCGCAAGCCUGAUGGAGCAACACCGCGUGAGUGAAGAAGGGUUUCGGCUCGUAAAGCUCUGUUGUUAAAGAAGAACACGUAUGAGAGUAACUGUUCAUACGUUGACGGUAUUUAACCAGAAAGUUACGGCUAACUACGUGCCAGCAGCCGCGGUAAUACGUAGGUGGCAAGCGUUAUCCGGAUUUAUUGGGCGUAAAGAGAGUGCAGGCGGUUUUCUAAGUUUUGAUGUGAAAGCCUUCGGCUUAACCGGAGAAGUGCAUCGGAAACUGGAUAACUUGAGUGCAGAAGAGGGUAGUGGAACUCCAUGUGUAGCGGUGGAAUGCGUAGAUAUAUGGAAGAACACCAGUGGCGAAGGCGGCUACCUGGUCUGCAACUGACGCUGAGACUCGAAAGCAU